rnacentral:rRNA from 1 species
CCAGACUCCUACGGGAGGCAGCAGUGGGGAAUAUUGCACAAUGGGGGAAACCCUGAUGCAGCAACGCCGCGUGAAGGAAGACGGUUUUCGGAUUGUAAACUUCUGUUCUUAGUGAAGAAUAAUGACGGUAGCUAAGGAGCAAGCCACGGCUAACUACGUGCCAGCAGCCGCGGUAAUACGUAGGUGGCAAGCGUUGUCCGGAAUUACUGGGUGUAAAGGGAGCGUAGGCGGGAUGCCAAGUCAGCUGUGAAAACUAUGGGCUUAACCUGUAGACUGCAGUUGAAACUGGUAUUCUUGAGUGAAGUAGAGGUUGGCGGAAUUCCGAGUGUAGCGGUGAAAUGCGUAGAUAUUCGGAGGAACACCGGUGGCGAAGGCGGCCAACUGGGCUUUAACUGACGCUGAGGCUCGAAAGUGUGGGGAGCAAACAGGAUUAGAUACCCUGGUAGUCCACACUGUAAACGAUGAUAACUAGGUGUGGGGGGUCUGACCCCUUCCGUGCCGCAGCUAACGCAAUAAGUUAUCCACCUGGGGAGUACGACCGCAAGGUUGAAACUCAAAGGAAUUGACGGGGACCCGCACAAGCAGUGGAUUAUGUGGUUUAAUUCGAAGCAACGCGAAGAACCUUACCAGCACUUGACAUCCGACUAACGAAGUAGAGAUACAUUAGGUGCCCUUCGGGGAAAGUCGAGACAGGUGGUGCAUGGUUGUCGUCAGCUCGUGUCGUGAGAUGUUGGGUUAAGUCCCGCAACGAGCGCAACCCCUGCCGUUAGUUGCUACGCAAGAGCACUCUAAUGGGACCGCUACCGACAAGGUGGAGGAAGGUGGGGACGACGUCAAAUCAUCAUGCCCCUUAUGUGCUGGGCUACACACGUAAUACAAUGGCCAUCAACAAAGAGAAGCAAUACCGCGAGGUGGAGCAAAACUUCAAAAAUGGUCUCAGUUCGGACUGCAGGCUGCAACCCGCCUGCACGAAGUUGGAAUUGCUAGUAAUCGUGGAUCAGCAUGCCACGGUGAAUACGUUCCCGGGUCUUGUACACACCGCCCGUCACACCAUGGGAGUUGGUAACACCCGAAGUCAGUAGUCUAACCGCAAGGAGGACGCUGCCGAAGGUGGGAUUGACGACUGGGGUGAAGUCGUAACAAGGUAGCCGUAUCAGAAGGUGCGGCUG